rnacentral:rRNA from 1 species
CCAUAGCGUAUAUUAAAGUUGUUGCGGUUAAAAGAACUCGUAGUUGGAUUUCUGCCGAGGACGACCGGUCCGCCCUCUGGGUGAGUAUCUGGCUCGACCUGGGCAUCCUUCCAGAGAAUGUGUCUGCUCUUGACUGAGUGGUGCAGUAUCUGGAACUUUUACUUGGAGGAAAUUAGAGUGUUUCAAGCAGGCAUACGCCUUGAAUACAUUCGCAUGGCAUAAGAUAGGACCUCGGUUCUAUUUUGUUGGUUUCUAGAGCUGAGAUAAUGAUUAAUAGGGAUAGUUGGGGGCAUUCGUAUUUAACGGUCAGAGGUGAACUUCUUGGAUUUGUUAAAGACGGACUACUGCGAAAGCAUUUGCCAAGGAUGUUUUCAUUGAUCAAGAACUAAAGUUAGGGAAUCGAAGAUGAUUAGAU